GAUGAACGCUGGCGGCGUGCCUAAUACAUGCAAGUCGAGCGAACGGACGAGGAGCUUGCUCCUCUGACGUUAGCGGCGGACGGGUGAGUAACACGUGGAUAACCUACCUAUAAGACUGGGAUAACUUCGGGAAACCGUAGCUAAUACCGGAUAAUAUUUUGAACCGCAUGGUUCAAAAGUGAAAGACGGUCUUGCUGUCACUUAUAGAUGGAUCCGCGCUGCAUUAGCUAGUUGGUAAGGUAACGGCUUACCAAGGCAACGAUGCGUAGCCGACCUGAGAGGGUGAUCGGCCACACUGGAACUGAGACACGGUCCAGACUCCUACGGGAGGCAGCAGUAGGGAAUCUUCCGCAAUGGGCGAAAGCCUGACGGAGCAACGCCGCGUGAGUGAUGAAGGUCUUCGGAUCGUAAAACUCUGUUAUUAGGGAAGAACAAAUGUGUAAGUAACUAUGCACAUCUUGACGGUACCUAAUCAGAAAGCCACGGCUAACUACGUG
rnacentral:rRNA from 1 species